rnacentral:rRNA from 1 species
UACGAAGGGGGCUAGCGUUGUUCGGAAUCACUGGGCGUAAAGGGCGCGUAGGCGGCGCGACAAGUCAGGCGUGAAAGCCCCGGGCUCAACCCGGGAAUUGCGCCUGAUACUGUCGUGCUUGAGGCCGGGAGAGGAUGGCGGAAUUCCCAGUGUAGAGGUGAAAUUCGUAGAUAUUGGGAAGAACACCGGUGGCGAAGGCGGCUAGCUGGACCGGUUCUGACGCUGAUGCGCGAAAGCGUGGGGAGCAAACAGG